rnacentral:rRNA from 1 species
AACGAACGCUGGCGGCAGGCCUAACACAUGCAAGUCGAACGCUCUAGCAAUAGAGAGUGGCAGACGGGUGAGUAACGCGUGGGAACCUUCCCAAUGGUACGGAAUAGCUCAGGGAAAAUUGAGGUAAUACCGUAUAAGCCCCUAGGGGGAAAGAUUUAUCGCCAUUGGAUGGGCCCGCGUCGGAUUAGCUAGUUGGUGAGGUAAUGGCUCACCAAGGCGACGAUCCGUAGCUGGUCUGAGAGGAUGAUCAGCCACACUGGGACUGAGACACGGCCCAGACUCCUACGGGAGGCAGCAGUGGGGAAUAUUGGACAAUGGGCGCAAGCCUGAUCCAGCCAUGCCGCGUGAGUGACGAAGGCCUUAGGGUUGUAAAGCUCUUUUGGCGGGGACGAUAAUGACGGUACCCGCAGAAUAAGCUCCGGCUAACUUCGUGCCAGCCGCCGCCGUAACAC